UACGAAGGGGGCUAGCGUUAAUCGGAAUUACUGGGCGUAAAGCGUGCGCAGGCGGUUCUCCAAGUCCGUUGUGAAAGCCCCGGGCUCAACCUGGGAAUGGCAGUGGAAACUAGGGGACUGGAAUCUGGCAGAGGGGGGUGGAAUGCCGCGUGUAGCAGUGAAAUGCGUAGAGAUGCGGCGGAACACCGAUGGCGAAGGCAGCCCCCUGGGCUGAGAUUGACGCUCAGGCACGAAAGCGUGGGGAGCAAACAGG
rnacentral:rRNA from 1 species